ensembl:lncRNA
CCUACGCUGCUUCAAGUGUUCCAAAGUUAGAACAUCCCAACAUGAGAUGUACUUUGUUUCCAACUUCAACAGAAAUCCUUAACAGAAAUCUGUGUAAGACGCAGAAAGGCGGGAAGGCCCACAUGCUGUGAUAACCAUUAAGCAGACUUCCCUGGAGCCAGUUGUCAUUCUGGGUGGUGAGGUCAGUCACACAGAGGUCAAAACAAAUUCUACGACGUCACAAUGGCUUUAGCUUCUGCGUGUGGGAAUUUCUCUGUCUCUCUCUCUCUUUCAUAUAUGCAAGCAGACCCGGAUGUCCCACAUUUCCUUUCUGGAAAGGGAUUCACGCGGACGUAGAAAGUUUUGCCCACAGAUGCCACCAUUCACCAUGAAAGUGAAUAUAUUACAAUGAAGUAUGUUAAAAGUGUGGUCUAGGUGUCACUUGAACCCAGGCAGUAUAACAAAGCAGUUGAGAAUCCGGGCUCUGGAGUCAAACUGUCUGCUUGCCUGGAGACUAAACAUCUUCUAGGGCUGAGAAGGGCUGCCCGCCACAGGGGACACACGCUCUCCAGGUGCCACAGUCAGGGCCAUACGCACGGUGGACCAGGACCAAUCGCCAUUUAUCAUUACAUGGACACUAUCUUUCUUAGAAGUGUGUUAGGAGAAACGUCAACCAUUUCUUCUAUCUAAGUCUGUACCAACACUGGGAAGAGAAAGGUAGAACGAGAGAGCCAACAAAAACAGGAACGAGCCUUUUUUCUGUGGGUAGAAAGAACGCUCCUCCAGGUUGUGCCCAUGAGGAAAGAAUACAAUCUAAUCCACUGUUGUGAAGACACCAUUUCUUUCAUUUUCAUCGCCUACUCAGGCCCUUCCAAGAGCUUGCAUUUGCCACCCUGGCUUGGUGUCUGCCUGUCCCAGAAUAUCUUCUUCAACACUCCUUGAAUGUUUUCACUGGUCUGCUAUGCUGCCUGAAAUGUGGAGAUUCAUUUGGGUUAAGAAGCAUUCCAUACUAAAGAUACAAAUCCCUCUGGGAAGGUACGGCAACAGCCUGGAUCAUAAUAAUUCCUCAUUGAUAAAGAUCAACUUGUACAAUCUGCCCUGAACGGUCAGGAAUAUUUAGCAUCUACAAGACUGUUACAAACAACUUUGCCUUUGAAGGGUGAUAGGGAGAAUCCCAAGAUCAAUGAUGUCAUUGUACUCUCUACGUGACAGCUGGGGGCUAACUAAGGGAGGUGACAUGACCAGCCACCUCACAGCAAAUUCUUGGGAAGGAUUGGGAGCUAAAGCUAUGAUAUGUACGUCUAUCAGGGAACUAUCUCCUUUCACUGAUUAAUGGGGCACAAGCAUCGGUGAGACUUAUAAUCUGAUCAGUUUUAACAACACACAAGAAGAAAAUAAUAGCACCAACAGGCUCAGUAAGAGGACAAACCUUUACAAACACCUCUUUGUUGAUUUUCUCAUGCUGCAAUAGUUAUGUGAAUUGCUAAGGGAAUAAUAACAACUAAUAUUAAUUGAUCAUCUACUAUGUGCCCCACGCUGAGCUAGUCACCCUACAUCAUCUCUGAACCUUACGGUAACACUCUUAGGGGGUUUUAUUAUCUCUGUUUUUCCUGAUGAACAGCUAAAGCUGAGACAAUUUCAGACUUACCUGAGGUCCCAUAGUCAGCAAGAAGCAGAGCCGAGACUCAUCCUCAGGGACAUCUGAUGUUGCUGUCCUAUGUGAGAGCAGCAGCUAGGGACUUUGGGUUUGGCGUUCUGAGAGGUACACCUAUGUCAGAAAUGACCAAACUGUAAAGAAGUUGUGGUGUUGUGGAUAACUUGAUAGGAGGGUGAGAUUUCCGUGAACAACAGAAUCAUAUUAUAGUAGUAAGGGAGAUGUUUUGGUAAUAUAAACAAUACAACAAAUGGAGGAGAAAAAUCUCUUCUACCUGACUAUACUACAAACCAUUUAUCAAAAAUCUUGCCUUUAAUAAAUGUUUUAGAAUAAGCUGUCUAUUCAGGAGGCCACCAUACUGUUUUCUGUCUAUGAGGUGGUAAGUAGAGCGGUUGAGACAACAUGCCUGAAACAAGACUGCCUCAGAUCAAACCCUGGUGGUGCCACUUCCUAGCUGUGACCUUGAACUAACUACUUAUGCUUAGUACCUACCCUACAGGGCUGCCAUGAGGGUUAAACCAUUAACCACACGUGAAGUUCUUAGAAAGCACCUGCUCAAUGGAAAGCACUUGGUCAAUAUUUGUCCAUACUGUGUGCAGAAUAGGGUAUGAAUGGUGUGAUGAAAUCGAAAGUGUGGUCCCCACUUUCAAGGAACUUAGAAACUAGCUGGGAAGAGAGAGCAUCUGCUGAUAAUAUGUCGCAGAAACAGGUACAACAUAAAAACGUCUCCUUUCAUCAAGGUAUACAUUGUUGUAUCAUAAUAAAAAUUAAGUAAAUAACAAUUAAGGAAAUAGAGGAAGUGAGCGGUGACCUGGAUUUUGAAGGAGUUGCUGGUUUACCACUACAAAAUUUUUAAUUAAAGACUUUUGUCAAGACUUGUCCAUUCUCAAUAUUGUCAAUCUUGAUUCGUUAUAUAUUUAAUGAUAACCUUCUCUGUGCAAGACACUGGGAUAGCGGUAACGAAGGACUACAGAUUUGAAAGAGCUCUUAUCCUCAAGGAACUUAUGGUCUGCUAUAAGACGUUAUAUAUUAAUAAAAUACAAGGUAG